UACGAAGGGGGCUAGCGUUGCUCGGAAUUACUGGGCGUAAAGCGCACGUAGGCGGAUCUUUAAGUCAGGGGUGAAAUCCUGGAGCUCAACUCCAGAACUGCCUUUGAUACUGAGGACCUUGAGUUCGGGAGAGGUGAGUGGAACUGCGAGUGUAGAGGUGAAAUUCGUAGAUAUUCGCAAGAACACCAGUGGCGAAGGCGGCUCACUGGCCCGAUACUGACGCUGAUGCACGAAAGCUAGGGGAGCAAACAGG
rnacentral:rRNA from 1 species